rnacentral:rRNA from 1 species
AAACAUCUAAGUACCCCGAGGAAAAGAAAUCAACCGAGAUUCCCUCAGUAGCGGCGAGCGAACGGGGAUUAGCCCUUAAGCAUCUUGGAAGUUAGUGGAACGGUCCUGGAAAGGCCGGCGAUACAGGGUGAUAGCCCCGUACACGAAAACAACCUUGAUGUGAAAUCGAGUAGGGCGGGACACGUGACAUCCUGUCUGAAUAUGGGGGGACCAUCCUCCAAGGCUAAAUACUCCUGACUGACCGAUAGUGAACCAGUACCGUGAGGGAAAGGCGAAAAGAACCCCUGUGAGGGGAGUGAAAUAGAACCUGAAACCGUGUACGUACAAGCAGUGGGAGCCCUUCGGGGUGACUGCGUACCUUUUGUAUAAUGGGUCAGCGACUUACAUUUUGUAGCGAGGUUAACCGUAUAGGGGAGCCGUAGGGAAACCGAGUCUUAACUGGGCGUCUAGUUGCAAGGUGUAGACCCGAAACCGGGUGAUCUAGCCAUGGGCAGGUUGAAGGUUGAGUAACAUCAACUGGAGGACCGAACCCACUAACGUUGCAAAGUUAGGGGAUGACCUGUGGCUGGGGGUGAAAGGCCAAUCAAACUCGGAGAUAGCUGGUUCUCCCCGAAAGCUAUUUAGGUAGCGCCUCGGACGAAUACUACUGGGGGUAGAGCACUGUUUGGGCUAGGGGGUCAUCCCGACUUACCAACCCCAUGCAAACUCCGAAUACCAGUAAGUAAUAUCCGGGAGACACACGGCGGGUGCUAACGUCCGUCGUGAAGAGGGAAACAACCCAGACCGCCGGCUAAGGUCCCAAAGUUCUGGUUAAGUGGGAAACGAUGUGGGAAGGCUCAGACAGCUAGGAUGUUGGCUUAGAAGCAGCCAUCAUUUAAAGAAAGCGUAAUAGCUCACUAGUCGAGUCGGCCUGCGCGGAAGAUGUAACGGGGCUCAAACCAGGCACCGAAGCCGCGGAUUCACGCUAAGCGUGAGUGGUAGGGGAGCGUUCUGUAAGUCUGCGAAGGUGUGUCGAGAGGCAUGCUGGAGAUAUCAGAAGUGCGAAUGCUGACGUAAGUAACGAUAAAGGGGGUGAAAAGCCUCCUCGCCGGAAGACCAAGGGUUCCUGUCCAACGUUAAUCGGGGCAGGGUGAGUCGACCCCUAAGGUGAGGCCGAAAGGCGUAAUCGAUGGGAAGCAGGUUAAUAUUCCUGCACGACUUGUAAUUGCGAUGGGGGGACGGAGAAGGCUAGGUGGGCCAGGCGACGGUUGUCCUGGUGAAAGUGCGUAGGUGGUGUUUCUAGGCAAAUCCGGAGACACAACAC